CCUCCCUUCGUACGUCAACCCUGCCGAGAGGGCCACGCCCGCAGCAACCCUUUUUACUCCGGUCGAAAAAAGGGGGGGGAAAAGGCAAUGGGGGAGAUGGAAAUAACCGCCCCUGCGGCACCCACGACGCAUACCACGCCCAAUCUCCCCCAACCCCCUCGCCCUCACUUCCACAUCUCGGCCGAGAAAAAUCGCCACCCCAAGCCCCAACACUCCUGCCGCGAUUGGGGUCUCCGGUGUAGGAGGAGCCGCGGCCCGCGGCGGCUCUUCUCCCCUGCACCCCGAGCUCUGAUGGCCUCACUCUGGGAGCCGAAGCAGUCGAGGCGCGGUGGUCUCAAGCACAGCGACGCCGAUCCUGAUAGCGUCCUGGCCACGACGCCGACGGCACGCCCUCACGACGGUCACGCACAUGAGCGAUAGGAGAGGGUGGCACCAACUGUGGCUGCACCGAUGAGUUCGCAACCAUGAUGCACAUCGACAUUCGACGAGCCCUGCUGCGUCGGCAAGACCGGUAUAGGUUGCCGCACCGGCGAGCUCUGUGGUACAUACGACCAUGCCGACGCAGUUCCUCAAGAUUGGAUGUGUGCACUCGCUGGUGAUGACAGCCAUCUUGGACGCCUUCUUCGAGGACCCCGGCUCGCUUAAGGUUCCCUGCCUGUCAUUUUUUUCCUCUGCCGAGAAGUGCAUAUUGUUGAUUGGUCCGGCUUACAAAGAGGAGUACCAGCUUCCCGAUUCUCUUACAGAAGCACUAAAUGGUCAAAGCAUGAGUGCAUGAGUAUAACCAACUACAUCAGCCAUGAGGGUCUUCAGGUCUUCUCUAAAAUUAGAUCUUGUAGUUAUUCUAAAUUGAUAAUGCUGGCAUGUAUGUGGAAUAAAAAACCAUAGUUUCAAUUGCUUCUGAAGCAUAAUACUGUCUUCCAAUUCUAUAAUAUU